CAGGCUUCUCCUCUUCUCCUGAAUGAUCCCCCAAGGAUGGACAAGGACAGGAAUGAGAUGACUAAGAGAAUAUUACACUUCACCUUGGAGAUCCUCCACCUGCUGACCGGAGAGGAAUUAAAAUUCUAACCAUGACCGAGCACAGGAACUAUAAAUAGGGGGACGAAACUAUCCGUGUAUCCUGUGGACUACUUCAGAUUUGGUGGACUACUACGAUGACCAGCAUUUUUUUGUUUUUGUUUAAUAGUUACCGAGGGCUUUUAAAAUAAAAGUCUUGUUCUAAUAUUAUCAUCAAUUCUAAUAUUAUC